rnacentral:rRNA from 1 species
CCUACGGGAGGCAGCAGUGAGGAAUAUUGGUCAAUGGGCGUAAGCCUGAACCAGCCAAGUAGCGUGCAGGAUGACGGCCCUAUGGGUUGUAAACUGCUUUUAUACGGGGAUAAAGUGCGCCACGUGUGGUGUUUUGCAGGUACCGUAUGAAUAAGGACCGGCUAAUUCCGUGCCAGCAGCCGCGGUAAUACGGAAGGUCCGGGCGUUAUCCGGAUUUAUUGGGUUUAAAGGGAGCGUAGGCCGCAUGUCAAGCGUGUUGUGAAAUGCAGGUGCUCAACACCUGGAUUGCAGCGCGAACUGUCGUGCUUGAGUGUGCGCAACGUUGGCGGAAUUCGUCGUGUAGCGGUGAAAUGCUUAGAUAUGACGAGGAACCCCGAUUGCGAAGGCAGCUGACGGGAGCAUAACUGACGCUGAAGCUCGAAGGUGCGGGUAUCGAACAGGAUUAGAUACCCCGGUAGUC